rnacentral:misc_RNA from 1 species
GAUGAAGAACGCAGUGAAACGCGAUAAGUAAUGUGAAUUGCAGAAUUCAGUGAAUCAUCGAGUUUUUGAACGCAUAUUGCGCCCUCUGGUAUUCCGGGGGGCAUGCCUGUUCGAGCGUCAUUAAAUAACCCUCAAGCAUAGCUUGGUGUUGGGCUUUUUUACGUCCUUGACUGGGAUGGGCCUAAAAAUUAGUGGCGAUGGCUUUUUUACUUUCAAGCGUAGUAAAUCUCGUCUUGCUAAAGAGGAAAAAGAUUUUUUUUCUGCCAAAAAUUUUAACAUUUAAAGUUGACCUCGGAUCAGGUAGGAUUACCCGCUGAACUUAAGCAUAUCAAUAAGCGGAGGA